GAUGAACGCUGGCGGCGUGCUUAACACAUGCAAGUCGAGCGCCCCGCAAGGGGAGCGGCAGACGGGUGAGUAACGCGUGGGAAUCUACCCAUCCCUACGGAACAACUCCGGGAAACUGGAGCUAAUACCGUAUACGCCCUACGGGGGAAAGAUUUAUCGGGGAUGGAUGAGCCCGCGUUGGAUUAGCUAGUUGGUGGGGUAAUGGCCUACCAAGGCGACGAUCCAUAGCUGGUCUGAGAGGAUGAUCAGCCACACUGGGACUGAGACACGGCCCAGACUCCUACGGGAGGCAGCAGUGGGGAAUAUUGGACAAUGGGCGCAAGCCUGAUCCAGCCAUGCCGCGUGAGUGAUGAAGGCCCUAGGGUUGUAAAGCUCUUUCACCGGUGAAGAUAAUGACGGUAACCGGAGAAGAAGCCCCGGCUAACUUCGUGCCAGCCGCCGCGGUAAUAC
rnacentral:rRNA from 1 species